UGGUUGUUAUGUUGGCCACAUAACACACUGCUAGUUAACCGUUGGGCAAAGAAACAGAUGACUGACCUAAACAUCAUCUGCCCAAUAGAUUGCAAAGUCUGAUUUGAGAAAAAAAAAUAUAAUUCAAAUGCAUUGCAUUAUUCUGUUUUAGAGUUUGUAGAAGUAUGACAAUGUUUUUUUUUUUUUUUUUUUUCUAAGAAAUAUCUAGUACAAGAAAUGAAGAGAAUAUUCUUAGUCGUAUCUAAGAAAAGAAAUGCUUGAAAAGGUACGCGUUCUGGAAGUAUCAGUGACACCAACAGCUUACUAUGAGUCACCAAUGUAGUCACCAAUCUAGUCAGCAAUGUAUUUAUAAACAGGAGGAAAUAAAUUAAGAAGACAAUGUUUUCACUUUGUGUUUUUAUGUACAACCUAAUAAAUCUUUAAUCUUCGGAAUCGAAUACUUUACCAUUA